AAACCAUGAUAAGGACACUCUAUGAGGAGGUCUUUGAAACGUUCCAUACAUAUAGAGAAUGAUUCAUUGGGUCUUUGGUGAAACUGAAAAAUGUCGUUCCUAAGCUU
rfam:Cephalotus follicularis DNA, scaffold: scaffold4573, isolate: St1.